rnacentral:rRNA from 1 species
CAAGUCGAACGAAGCUUGACGGAUGAUUUCUUCGGAAUGAAACCAGAUAUGACUUAGUGGCGGACGGGUGAGUAACACGUGAGCAACCUGCCUUUCAGAGGGGGAUAACGGCUGGAAACGGUCGCUAAUACCGCAUGAUGUGUUCGGAUGGCAUCAUUUGAACAUCAAAGAUUUAUCGCUGAAAGAUGGGCUCGCGUCUGAUUAGAUAGUUGGUGGGGUAACGGCCUACCAAGUCUACGAUCAGUAGCCGGACUGAGAGGUUGAACGGCCACAUUGGGACUGAGAUACGGCCCAGACUCCUACGGGAGGCAGCAGUGGGGAAUAUUGCACAAUGGGGGAAACCCUGAUGCAGCAACGCCGCGUGAAGGAUGACGGUUUUCGGAUUGUAAACUUCUUUUCUUAGUGACGAAGACAGUGACGGUAGCUAAGGAAUAAGCAUCGGCUAACAACGUGCCAGCAGCCGCGGUAAUACGUAGGAUGCAAGCGUUAUCCGGAUUUACUGGGUGUAAAGGGAGCGCAGGCGGGACUGCAAGUUGGAUGUGAAAUACCGUGGCUUAACCACGGAACUGCAUCCAAAACUGUAGUUCUUGAGUGAAGUAGAGGCAAGCGGAAUUCCGAGUGUAGCGGUGAAAUGCGUAGAUAUUCGGAGGAACACCAGUGGCGAAGGCGGCUUGCUGGGCUUUAACUGACGCUGAGGCUCGAAAGUGUGGGGAGCAAACAGGAUUAGAUACCCUGGUAGUCCACACUGUAAACGAUGAUAGCUAGGUGUGGGGGGUCUGACCCCUUCCGUGCCGGAGUUAACGCAAUAAGCUAUCCACCUGGGGAGUACGACCG